rnacentral:tRNA from 1 species
AGGAUAUUAGUUAAAAAAUAACAUUUAAAUUGCAUUUAAAUAUUAAUAUUAUUAUUUAUUAUAUCUUA